rnacentral:rRNA from 1 species
UACGGAGGGUGCAAACGUUGCUCGGAAUCAUUGGGCGUAAAGCGCACGUAGGCGGUCUUUUAAGUUGGGCGUGAAAUCCCUCGGCUUAACCAAGGAAGUGCACUCAAAACUGAAAGACUUGAAUACUGGAGAGGGUCGCAGAAUUCUCGGUGUAGAGGUGAGAUUCGUAGAUAUCGGGAGGAAUACCAGUGGCGAAGGCGGCGACCUGGCUCGCAUCUGACGCUCAGACACGACAGCAUGGGGAGCGAACGGG